rnacentral:rRNA from 1 species
GUAGGUGGCAAGCGUUGUCCGGAAUUAUUGGGCGUAAAGCGCGCGCAGGCGGGUCCUUUAAGUCUGAUGUGAAAGCCCACGGGCUCAACCGUGGAGGGUCAUUGGAAACUGGGGGGCUUGAGUACAGAAGAGGAAAGCGGAAUUCCAAGUGUGGCGGUGAAAUGCGUAGAGAUUUGGAGGAACACCAGUGGCGAAGGCGGCUUUCUGGUCUGUAACUGACGCUGAGGCGCGAAAGCGUGGGGAGCAAACAGGAUUAGAUACCCUGGUAGUCCACGCCGUAAACGAUGAGUGCUAAGUGUUAGGGGGUUUCCGCCCCUUAGUGCUGCAGCUAACGCAUUAAGCACUCCGCCUGGGGAGUACGGCCGCAAAGGCUG